AUAAGCUUCUGAUGAUCCGACAGUCACAGAGGAGAAAGAAUUUGCAUGUGGUAUUGUAGCAAGUUGAACACAGUCAUGGUACCUCUUGGCCAGAGAGUAGGCUGACGUCACGGGCAGAGUGCGGGGGAGCUGCAAUCUGUCUCUGUGUGUUUGCUGGGCAUGGCCUCCUGAUCCCUGCCUCCUGACGAUCCUCCUGAGUGCCAGCAGCUGGGACCUGCACACCUGAACCACAUCUACAAUCAAUCCACUGCAGCAGAAAACCCCUGCUCAGACAUCCAGACUCUGCCAGAUCUGUCAGUCUCCUCUGCGGUUCACCACACCAGCCCCAACCAUAACCUGCCACGUCCAGCCUUGUUCUUGUCUUCUGCUUCCGUAUUUGGUGUGCUCUGCCUUCAGCUAAUCUGCCUGCUCUGCUUCACCAGUCCCUGCCCAUCUCAGCCAUCAUUUUAUUCAAGCCUUCAGCUGCGCUUCUUCAAACUACAAUAAACUGCCUUUAACCACUCCCCAUUUCCUGAUUGUGUUUGCAUUUGGGUCCUAAGUCAUACUGCCACAACACUUCUCUGCAUCAUCUGCUGAACUUUCAUAGCUUUUUUACGCACAGAGAUGCCCCAUAUAAAACAAAACAAUUUUUUUGCAUGCAUAAAGCAAAAAUCUGUCUUUGGUUUGCAAAUGCAAAUGCAAACAUAAAAACAUGAUACACAGACGCAACAUUAAAAGGAGCACCACAUACUCACAGUGAGGACCAAACCAAAGUUAAAUAGUGCUAAGGUGUCAACCUGUUUUCAAAAAGUGGCUUUCCUUACUGUUUAAUACAUUUUAUGGCAACAAGAACAAAAUUUAUAGUUUAUUGUCAGCAGUCACAUCAUCAAUAAAUACAAGAGAACCAGCUCCACUGGCAGCCAUACAUGGCCAUGACAUAACAGUACCUCCACCAUGCUUCACUGAUGAGGUGGUGUGCUUUGGAUCAUGAGCAGUUCCUUCCCUUCUUCCUUCUCUUCUCUUCCCAUCAUUCUGGUAGUUGAUCUUUGUCUUAUCUGUCCAUAGUAUGCUAUUCCACAACUGUACAGGCUUUUUAGAUGGUUUUGUGACAAACUCUAACCUGGCCUUCCAUUUUUAAGGCUAACCAAUGGUUUGCAUCUUGUGAUAAACCCUCUGUAUUUAUUCUAGUGAAGUCUUCUCGUGCUGACAAGAGCAGCAGGAUGAAAGCUGAAGUGUUUGGGGCUACAUUAUCUGCUCAGAUUCAACCAAAUGCUUCAAAACUCAUUGGACGAUGCUUCACAGUGCAGAUGGACAUUGACCUGAAGCAGACUGCAAAAGCAACCAAAGACAUUUUUAAGGCAAAGAAGUGGAAUGUUCUGCAAUGGCCAAGUCAUAUCAUCUGACCUGAAUCCAACUGAGCAUGCGUUUCUCUUGCUGAAGCCAAAACUGAGGGCAAAACACCCAAAACACAAGCAGGAAGUGCAGACGGCUGCAGUAAAGGGCUGGCAGAGCAUCACCAGGGAAGAAACCCAGCAUCUGGUGAUAUCUAUGUGUCCAACACUUCAGGCAGUCAUUGACUGUAAAGGAUUUGCAACCAAGUAUUAAAACUGACUGUUUAAUUGAUGAUUAUGUUAGUUUGUCCAAAUACUUAUGAGCCCUUAGAGUUGGGGGACUGUGUGAAGAAAUGGUUGUAAUUCCUACACGGUUCAUAUUACAUUUUUGAAAAAAGCCUUAAAUGAGAGCUGAGAGUCUGCACUUUAAGCAGGUAUUCAUUGUUUCAUUUAAAACCCAUUGUGGUGGUGUACAGAGCCAAAAUGACGACAACCAUAUCAUCGUCCAAAUAAUUAUGGACCUGACUGUAUAUAAUUCUAUACUUAAUCAAAACUUUUCAAAUCUCUGUUAUAAAUGAAAUAAA